AAGCUCGUAGUUGGAUUUCUGUUAAUAAUUUAUAUAAAAUAUUUUGAUGAAUAUUUAUAUAAUAUUAACAUAAUUCAUAUUACUAUAUAUUUUAGUAUAUGAAAUUUUACUUUGAGAAAAUUAGAGUGCUUAAAGCAGGCAUAUGCCUUGAAUACUCCAGCAUGGAAUAAUAUUAAAGAUUUUUAUCUUUCUUAUUGGUUCUAAGAUAAGAAUAAUGAUUAAUAGGGACAGUUGGGGGCAUUUGUAUUUAACAGUCAGAGGUGAAAUUCUUAGAUUUGUUAAAGACAAACUAAUGCGAAAGCAUUUGCCAAGGAUGUUUUCAUUAAUCAAGAACGAAAGUUAGGGGAUCGAAGACGAUCAGAUACCGUCGUAGUCUUAACCAUAAACUAUGCCAACUAGAGAUUGGAGGUUGUUCCUUACUCCUUCAGCACCUUA
rnacentral:rRNA from 3 species